CGCGUACAAGUCCCCUGGAACGGGGCGUCGCAGAGGGUGAGAAUCCCGUCUUUGACGCGGUCUGCCCGGUGCCAUGCGAUGCGCUCUCGAAGAGUCGAGUUGUUUGGGAAUGCAGCUCAAAAAGGGUGGUAAAUUCCAUCUAAAGCUAAAUACUGGCGAAAGACCGAUAGCGAACAAGUACCGUGAGGGAAAGAUGAAAAGCACUUUGGAAAGAGAGUCAAACAGUACGUGAAAUUGUUGAAAGGGAAACGCUUGAAGUCAGUCGCGUCUCCCGGGAUUCAGCAGGUUCCUUCGCGGGACAGGCGCAUUUCCCGGGGUUUUGACGGGCCAGCGUCGAUUUCGACCGUCGUAAAAAGGCGAAGAGGAACGUGGCACCUUUCGGGGUGUGUUAUAGCCUCGCGUCGUAUGCGAACGGUUUAGGGAUCGAGGAACGCAGCGCGCCUUUUUCAUUAAGGGCCGGGGUUCGCCCACGUAACGCGCUUAGGACGCUGGCGUAAUGGCUUUAAGCGACCCGUCUUGAAACACGGACCAAGGAGUCUAACAUGCU
rnacentral:rRNA from 1 species